AUGGAUUUUGUCGAGGGGCUACCCAAAUCAGAGGGGUCUGAUGCCAUCAUGGUCGUCGUCGAUCGUCUGACCAAGUACGCACACUUCAUUCCGCUUCACCACCCCUUCACCGCGGCGCAAGUCGCCCGCGCAUUCUGGGAGCAUGUCAUCAAGCUGCACGGGGUUCCUCACUCCAUCGUCUCGGAUCGUGACAAGAUCUUCACGAGCGCCAUGUGGCGGGAACUGCUCGCCGCCGCGGGAACCAAGCUGCUCUAUUCCACGGCGUACCACCCGCAGACGGACGGCCAGACAGAACGUGUCAACCAGUGCCUCGAGAUGUACUUGCGAUGUGCGGUGCACGACACGCCGCGGCAAUGGCGCAAGUGGCUCCCUGCGGCAGAAUUCUGGUACAACUCCGCUCAUCAUUCCUCGCUCAAUUGUUCGCCGUUCAAGGCGCUGUACGGCAAGGAACCGAACCUGGGCGGUCUACCACACCUGAGCUCCACUCUGCACAAUCAAGCGGCGUCGCCGGAGCUGGACUGGACAGCACACACCGAGAUGCUGCGCGCCCAGCUCACGCGCGCCCAAGCUCGCUUCAAGAAGCAAGCCGAUCGUCACCGCGCGGAGCGCGCCUUCGACGUCGGCGAGAACGUGCUCCUCAAACUGCAGCCGUACGCGCAGUCGACCGUCGCCAACCGCCCGUGCCGCAAGCUCUCCUACAAGUUCUUCGGCCCUUUUGAAGUGACAGAGCGGAUUGGAACCCUGGCAUAUCGCCUGCAGUUGCCUCCAGACAGCCGCAUCCAUCCGGUAUUUCACGUCUCCCAGCUCAAACCCUUCACUCCAGAUUACACUCCAGUCUUCGCCGAGCUGCCGCGGGUACCCGACCUCACUGGGGGUGACACGAAGCCAGUGGCGAUCUUGGAGCGGAGGAUGAUGAAGAAGGGCGAUGCACCGGUUGUGCAACUCCGUGUCCAGUGGGCAAACAUGCCAACUUCAGCCACCACUUGGGAAGAUUACACCGUUCUUCGCCAACGCUAUCCAUCAGCCUGCAUCUGGGAAGGAGCUUCAUCUCAAGGGGAGGACAAUGUCGCGCCUACUGAUGCAUCAGUGGCGGACUGA
rnacentral:rRNA from 1 species